rnacentral:sRNA from 1 species
AGGUGAACCUGCGGAAGGAUCAUUAUCGAAUUACAUUUGAGAGAGAAAGGAGCGGACUGUUGCUGGUCUUUCGGUGACGCUGGAUAACGGCCGAACCCGACUGACAUUGUGCACGUUUGUGACUUUUUCGAUCAAUAAAUUCUCCAACACACACCUGUGCACUUGUUGUAGGCUUUCGAAAGAAAGCCUAUGUUUUCACACACACCUAAUGUAUGUCUAUAGAAUGUCUUUUACAAUUAUUGAGCGCUUCUUCGAGAAGAUGGUCAGUAAAUAAAACUAUACAACUUUCAGCAACGGAUCUCUUGGCUCUCGCAUCGAUGAAGAACGCAGCGAAUUGCGAUAUGUAAUGUGAAUUGCAGAUUUUCAGUGAAUCAUCGAAUCUUUGAACGCACCUUGCGCUCCUUGGUAUUCCGAGGAGCAUGCCUGUUUGAGUGUCAUUAAAUUCUCAACUCCUUUUGAUUUCGUUAUCGAAAGAAGCUUGGAUAGUGGGUUUGCUGGUGUCACCAUCAGCUUUCCUUAAAUGCAUUGGCAAAGGCGAUGGCACGAUAACGUCUUUCGGUGUGAUAAUGAUCGCCGUGGAUGGAAGUGUCCUUGUUCUCCUAUGCCUAUAACCCGUGUCGUUUGUUGCUUCAUUGCGAUGAAUACACUCUGAACCUUUUGACCUCAAAUCAGGUAGGAUUACCCGCUGAACUUAAGCAUAUCAAUAAGCGGAGGAAAAGAAACUAACAAGGAUUCCCCUAGUAACUGCGAGUGAAGCGGGAAGAGCUCAAAUUUUGAAUCUGGCGGUCCUUGCGGCCGUCCGAGUUGUAAUCUAGAGAAGCGUUUUCCGCGCUGGACCGUGUACAAGUCUCCUGGAAGGGAGCGUCAUAGAGGGUGAGAAUCCCGUCUUUGACACGGACUACCAGGGCUUUUGUGAUGCGCUCUCGACGAGUCGAGUUGUUUGGGAAUGCAGCUCAAAUUGGGUGGUAAAUUCCAUCUAAAGCUAAAUACAGGCGAGAGACCGAUAGCGAACAAGUACCGUGAGGGAAAGAUGAAAAGAACUUUGGAAAGAGAGUUAAACAGUACGUGAAAUUGCUGAAAGGGAAACGCUUGAUGUCAGUCGCGUUGGCCGGGGAUCAGCCUUGCUCUUUUGCUAGGUGUACUUCCUGGUCGACGGGUCAGCAUCAAUUUUGGUCGCUGGAUAAAGCCGAGGGGAAUGUGGCACUCUUCGGGGUGUGU